CAUGCAAGUCGAGCGGUAGCACAGAGAGCUUGCUCUCGGGUGACGAGCGGCGGACGGGUGAGUAAUGUCUGGGAAACUGCCUGAUGGAGGGGGAUAACUACUGGAAACGGUAGCUAAUACCGCAUAACGUCGCAAGACCAAAGUGGGGGACCUUCGGGCCUCAUGCCAUCAGAUGUGCCCAGAUGGGAUUAGCUAGUAGGUGGGGUAACGGCUCACCUAGGCGACGAUCCCUAGCUGGUCUGAGAGGAUGACCAGCCACACUGGAACUGAGACACGGUCCAGACUCCUACGGGAGGCAGCAGUGGGGAAUAUUGCACAAUGGGCGCAAGCCUGAUGCAGCCAUGCCGCGUGUGUGAAGAAGGCCUUCGGGUUGUAAAGCACUUUCAGCGGGGAGGAAGGCGAUAAGGUUAAUAACCUUGUCGAUUGACGUUACCCGCAGAAGAAGCACCGGCUAACUCCGUGCCAGCAGCCGCGGUAAUACGGAGGGUGCAAGCGUUAAUCGGAAUUACUGGGCGUAAAGCGCACGCAGGCGGUCUGUCAAGUCGGAUGUGAAAUCCCCGGGCUCAACCUGGGAACUGCAUUCGAAACUGGCAGGCUAGAGUCUUGUAGAGGGGGGUAGAAUUCCAGGUGUAGCGGUGAAAUGCGUAGAGAUCUGGAGGAAUACCGGUGGCGAAGGCGGCCCCCCUGGACAAAGACUGACGCUCAGGUGCGAAAGCGUGGGGAGCAAACAGGAUUAGAUACCCCUGGUAGUCCACGCCGUAAACGAUGUCGAUUUUGGAGGUUGUGCCCUUGAGGCGUGGCUUCCGGAGCUAACGCGUUAAAUCGACCGCCUGGGGGAGUACGGCCGCAAGGUUAAAACUCAAAUGAAUUGACGGGGGCCCGCACAAGCGGUGGAGCAUGUGGUUUAAUUCGAUGCAACGCGAAGAACCUUACCUGGUCUUGACAUCCACAGAACUUACCAGAGAUGCUUUGGUGCCUUCGGGAACUGUGAGACAGGUGCUGCAUGGCUGUCGUCAGCUCGUGUUGUGAAAUGUUGGGUUAAGUCCCGCAACGAGCGCAACCCUUAUCCUUUGUUGCCAGCGGUUAGGCCGGGAACUCAAAGGAGACUGCCAGUGAUAAACUGGAGGAAGGUGGGGAUGACGUCAAGUCAUCAUGGCCCUUACGACCAGGGCUACACACGUGCUACAAUGGCAUAUACAAAGAGAAGCGACCUCGCGAGAGCAAGCGGACCUCAUAAAGUAUGUCGUAGUCCGGAUUGGAGUCUGCAACUCGACUCCAUGAAGUCGGAAUCGCUAGUAAUCGUAGAUCAGAAUGCUACGGUGAAUACGUUCCCGGGCCUUGUACACACCGCCCGUCACACCAUGGGAGUGGGUUGCAAAAGAAGUAGGUAGCUUAACCUUCGGGAGGGCGCUUACCACUUUGUGAUUCAUGACUGGGGUGAA
rnacentral:rRNA from 1 species